GUUUUAAUAGUUUAAAUAAAAUAUUGGUCUUGUAAACCAAAGAUAAGUUAAAUCUUUUAUUACU
rnacentral:tRNA from 1 species